CCAACGGUGGAUGCCUUGGCGACCAAGAACGAUGAAGGACGUGAGUGACUGCGAAAAGCUGCGGGAAGCCGUCGACUAGGCGUUGAUCCGCAGAUGUCCGAAUGGGGAAACCCGGCACUCGUCAUGGAGUGUCACCCCGGUGUGAACACAUAGCACCGGAGGAGGGAACCAGGGGAAUUGAAACAUCUCAGUACCCUGAGGAAAGGAAAGCAACCGCGACUCCCUCAGUAGCGGCGAGCGAAGAGGGAAAAGACCAAACCGUGUCAGUGUCAAGCCAGGUGGCGUUGCUGACGCGGGGUAGCGGGACCAAGAGAUCCAGCACCUGAUGGAUCACGGAGUUACCAAGUUGCUGUGUAGUGGAACGGCUCUGGAAAGGCCGGCCGCAGUGGGUAAUAGCCCCGUACACGAAACACACGCAACCUCCGCUUGUCAUCCCAAGUAACGCCGGGACCGAGCAAACUGGCGUGAAUCUGUGGGGG
rnacentral:rRNA from 1 species